CCUGUGCCUAGAGGCAGUGCAGGUGUGACUGCUGUGACAAGUGUUUAUCAGUAAGUGGCAGAGAGGACUAUGUCUGUGCUCAAUGUUCGGGGCCUGUGAACAUCUGAAUUAUUAGCAGCCUAACAUU